AUUUUAGGUGUUUUUAUAAACUUAAUAGGGAAAUGUGUGAAACACUGCAGCCCCCGCUACUGUAUAUAAGGACUAACUACUAAUAAGCCACUGUAAUCUUAUAAAGAUUAUGGGAAGGUAAGUAGAAGGGAUGAAUUAUAAGCCAGGAGACCUACCUAGAGUAAA
rnacentral:ncRNA from 1 species